rnacentral:rRNA from 1 species
UACGUAGGGGGCGAGCGUUGUCCGGAAUCAUUGGGCGUAAAGCGCGCGCAGGCGGCUCGGAGAGCCCGGCGUGAAAGCCCCCGGCUCAACCGGGGGAGGCCGUCGGGGACCUUCGGGCUGGAGGCCGGCAGGGGGGAGCGGAAUUCCCGGUGUAGUGGUGGAAUGCGUAGAGAUCGGGAGGAACACCGGUGGCGAAGGCGGCUCCCUGGGCCGGUCCUGACGCUCAGGCGCGAAAGCGUGGGGAGCGAUCCGG